CCUAAAUGUACAUCAUGCAUUCACGUUUGUCUGCUUUUUUUAUUGUCUACUGAUGGGAUUCUGUUAGUAUAUAGGAUUUUAUGGAGUAUGAAGCAUUCUUAUGCUGCUGCAGGAGGGAUCCCAAUAAAGGACUCAGGAAUUCCCCCUUAGCCAGAUAUUUUCUGAUUUCCUUCCUGUGACAUAUUUAUUAUAACCUAUUGCAGAGCAGCACUUUUCAUGCCCUGCCAUCAACAUGUCAAAGAAGAAAACAAGAUUAAUGUAUCACCAUGGAAACCAGCUCUGCACCGGACAUAGAUGUCCGCCAUUUUUUGGGCGCUCGAUAGUAAAAGGAAGCACCGCCCCUUAGAGGCGUCAUUUAAUGUAAUACCGCCCAUGGACACGCCCUCUUGGUAAUAACUCCUCCCAUAGCCCUUUCAGUGAACGUCCCUCUCCAGACCAAGUGGGCUAAGCCCCGCCCACGGGCACGCCCCCACUCCGUCCUGAGACGUAAGCCCCUCCUCUUAGCAACAGGAAGCCUCCUUGACAACGAGAAAAAGUUUUUAAAAUCUAGUGCAGAUUAAACUGAAAGUAUAGGGACUGGCAUGUGAGGGUGAGUGGGUGCAGGUAUGGUAUAUAAAGUAUAGGGACUGGCAUGUGAGGGUGAGUGGGUGCAGGUAUGGUAUAUAAAGUAUAGGGACUGGCAUGUGAGGGUGAGUGGGUGCAGGUAUGGUGUAUAAAGUAUAGGGACUGGCAUGUGAGGGUGAGUGGGUGCAGGUAUGGUAUAUAAAGUAUAGGGACUGGCAUGUGAGGGUGAGUGGGUGCAGGUAUGGUAUAUAAAGUAUAGGGACUGGCAUGUGAGGGUGAGUGGGUGCAGGUAUGGUAUAUAAAGUAUAGGGACUGGCAUGUGAGGGUGAGUGGGUGCAGGUAUGGUAUAUAAAGUAUAGGGACUGGCAUGCGAGGGUGAGUGGGUGCAGGUAUGGUAUAUAAAGUAUAGGGACUGACAUGCGAGGGUGAGUGGUUGCAGGUAUGGUAUAUAAAGUAUAGGGACUGGCAUGUGAGGGUGAGUGGGUGCAGGUAUGGUAUAUAAAUAUAGGGACUGGCAUGUGAUGGUCAAAGGCUGGGGCCACAUACCUCCCAAGUGUCCCUAUUUAGGAGGGACAGUCCCUAGUUUGGGCUCAAAUCCCUUUGUCCCUCUUUUUUAGGAGUUUCCAUAUUGUUCCUCUUUUUUAUGAGUUUCCAUAUUGUCCCUCUUUUUUAGGAGCUCUAUAUUGUUGGUGUGUUUGAGUGUAUUACAG